rnacentral:lncRNA from 1 species
AGAUGGACCCGAUUCAGAAAGCUGUAAUAAACCAUACAUUCGGGGUUCCUCUUCCCCACCGAAGAAAGCAAAUCAUAUCAUGCAACAUUUGCCAGUUGAGAUUUAAUUCUGAUGUCUGUGUGGCAUGUCGUAAAAGGAACAUGGCCAAGGUAUUUGGAGAUAUGGACUAAUCACUUUGGGUCAUAAUUAAACAAUUGCAGGCUUGACCAUUUACCAGAUGAUUAUUGUAUUAGUCUUCUAUUGCUGCUAAAAUAAAUCACCACAAACUCAGUGGCCUGAAACAACACAAA